UACGUAGGCAGCGAGCGUUGUUCGGAGCUACUGGGCGUAAAGCGUGCGUAGGCGGUUUUGUCAGUUUGGUGUGAAAUCUCCCGGCUCAACUGGGAGGGUGCGCCGAAAACUGCAAGGCUGGAGUAUGGGAGAGGUAGGCGGAAUUCCUGGUGUAGCGGUGAAAUGCGUAGAUAUCUGGAGGAACACCGGUGGCGAAGGCGGCAUCCUGGACCAAUACUGACGCUGAGGAGCGAAAGCCAGGGGAGCAAACGGG
rnacentral:rRNA from 1 species